UAAAAGUGAAAAAAAAUUCCAUCUGCCUAGUGGUAUAUAAGAGUUUAGGUUGACUGAUGCUAUGGUUUCAGAUUAUGUAGUUAUACUUUUUUAUUUAUGAUGGAUGUGUACUGGUACAAAAGGGCUUAACCUUUUUAAGUUCUAUCAUCAGUAACAAAUAUAUGAUUCCAGAUUUAUUGUUGUGUGGUAUUGUUAGAAUCCGUGCUCUGAUAUACAGUAAUGCGUAAACCUUAGUGCUACAACUUGCUUGUUAUAUCUGUGUUAUCUUCUGUUUUUUUUGUUGUGUAAGUCAACAAACUAUGAUUAUUAAUUUGUAGGUUCCAUGAUGUUUUAAGUUUUAUGCACAUCGUGCAGGAUAUGUGUAUCGGCUUUUACACUCGCAACAAUCAC
rnacentral:lncRNA from 1 species